rnacentral:rRNA from 1 species
GACGAACGCUGGCGGCGUGCUUAACACAUGCAAGUCGAACGGAAAGGCCCUGCUUUGGUGGGGGGCUCGAGUGGCGAACGGGUGAGUAACACGUGAGUAACCUGCCCUUGACUUUGGGAUAACUUCAGGAAACUGGGGCUAAUACCGGAUAGGAGCUCCGGCUGCAUGGGGGGGGUUGGAAAGUUUCGGCGGUUGGGGAUGGACGCGCGGCUUAUCAGCUUGUGGGUGGGGUAGUGGCUUACCAAGGCUUUGACGGGUAGCCGGCCUGAGAGGGGGACCGGCCACAUUGGGACUGAGAUACGGCCCAGACUCCUACGGGAGGCAGCAGUGGGGAAUAUUGCACAAUGGGCGGAAGCCUGAUGCAGCAACGCCGCGUGCGGGAUGACGGCCUUCGGGUUGUAAACCGCUUUCGCCUGUGACGAAGCGUGAGUGACGGUAAUGGGUAAAGAAGCACCGGCUAACUACGUG